AAAAAUCAACGCACUGGUACCGGCAAUCGUCCCGGGGAACCAGUGACGCCUUCGAAAAGUGCGUUAGAGCGCACAUUCUACCCAACAAUUGUUGGGAGCGCGCCG
ensembl:ncRNA W02H5.17 ncRNA